rnacentral:SRP_RNA from 1 species
CCGCGCUAUGCGGGGAGUCAGCGAUGCCCUGUUAUCCGCAAUUCGCUUAGCGGAGCAGAAUGCUUUUAGAGGCUUUCGCCGUGGAAGGCCGCGUUUUAUAAGGGGCGUUGAUGUCAAGGUCCUAUGCAACGCGCUCCCGCGAACCGUGUCAGAGCAGGAAUGCAGCAGCACUAAACGGAUAAGCACGUGUGCCAUAGGGUUGCUUUGACGGAGUUACCUGUAAGGCUUACGCUUCGGCGGUGUCUGUCGAUAUAAGAUGCGCG